AGAGUUUGAUCCUGGCUCAGAAUGAACGUUGGCGGCGUGGAUUAGGCAUGCAAGUCGAGCGGCAGCAGGCCCGCAAGGGCGCUGGCGAGCGGCGUAAGGGAGAGUAACACGCGGGUACCUACCCUCGGGACCGGGAUAGCUGCGGGAAACUGCAAUUAAUACCGGAUAAUGUCCCUGGACCAAAGGUGUGAUUCCGCCUGAGGAGGGGCCCACGUCCUAUCAGCUAGUUGGUGAGGUAACGGCUCACAAAGGCUACGACGGGUACGGGGUGUGAGAGCAUGCCCCCGUUCACUGGGACUGAGACACUGCCCAGACACCUACGGGUGGCUGCAGUCGAGAAUCUUCCGCAAUGGGCGAAAGCCUGACGGAGCGACGCCGCGUGCGGGAUGAAGGCCUUCGGGUUGUAAACCGCUGUCAGAGGGGAACAAGUCCAUGGUGGUUAUCUGCCAUGGUUGAGUGAUCCUCAGAGGAAGCGCAGGCUAAGUCCGUGCCAGCAGCCGCGGUAACACGGACUGCGCGAACGUUAUUCGGAAUCAUUGGGCUUAAAGCGUCCGUAGGCGGCCGUGCAGGUGAGGUGUGAAAUCCCUCGGCUUAACCGAGGAACUGCGCUUCAAACCACAUGGCUGGAGAGAGAUAGAGGUGAGCGGAACUCACGGUGGAGCGGUGAAAUGCGUUGAUAUCGUGAGGAACACCGGUGGCGAAGGCGGCUCACUGGGUCUCUUCUGACGCUGAGGGACGAAAGCUAGGGGAGCGAACGGGAUUAG
rnacentral:rRNA from 1 species